UGAUUUUCUAGCUGGCGGUUUCCCGU
rnacentral:piRNA from 1 species